rnacentral:rRNA from 1 species
GACGAACGCUGGCGGCGUGCCUAACACAUGCAAGUGGAGCGACGAACCAGGGCUUGCCCUGGAGCAAAGCCGCGAACGGGUGAGUAACACGUGAGUAACCUGCCCCGAAGAUUGGGACAACCCGAGGAAACUCGGGCUAAUACCGAAUGCACCCCCUGGGCCCAAGCCCAGUGGGAAAAGGAAGCUUCGGCCUCCGCUUCGGGAGGGGCUCGCGGCCCAUUAGCUAGUUGGUGAGGUAACGGCUCACAAAGGCAACGAUGGGUAGCUGGUCUGAGAGGACGAUCAGCCACACUGGGACUGAGACACGGCCCAGACUCCUACGGGAGGCAGCAGUGGGGAAUCUUGCGCAAUGCGCGAAAGCGUGACGCAGCAACGCCGCGUGGGGGAAGAAGGCCUCCGGGUUGUAAACCCCUUUCAGGAGGGACGAAGGUGCGACGGUGAACAGCCGCUCGCACUGACGGUACCUCCAGAAGAAGCCCCGGCUAACUACGUGCCAGCCGCCGCAGUAA